GAGGGUGUGGGAAUUGGCAGGGUGCUGCUGAAUUCCAGUUUCAAGAGGUGGAUCCCUUUCCUGGGAUGGGCAGAGUGGAUUUCAUCCCUCCUGGCUGAAGCUCCCUCUCAGCUCUGCUAUGAUCCCACAUCCAACACCUGCAAGCCAAACAUAGCCUAGAUCAUCUCUGGAUAGGACUGGGGCAACUUUUGUACAGCUGUCAUUUUAAAGGAUAAUUACAAGCAUGACUUACAGGAUAAUAAGCAGAGAUAAAACUAAUUCCAGUAACCCAUCUCACUGUGGUGGAACCAGGGGAAAAACUCCUUUUCUGCGGUUUAUGGGAGGAAGGGAACAGUUGAGACUGAGCGCUGGUGCUGUCGUUGUCACUGAGUGCCUGAUGUCACCAUCUCAGCCAGGGCAUUCAGCAUCUUCCAGGAACCCAGGGCUGCAUCACAAAGGAACAACGGGAUAGAGGCACCAAACCCCUGCCUGGUUUUAUGCCUCAUAAACAAACUGCCUCGUAAAUAUGCCUUGUAAAUAAAAUAAAUAAAUACAGUAGUAGUGAUUUCCUUUGGUUUCAUCAGCUGAGAAGCUUACACCAAUGUGAGAUGCUGCCAAAAGUACUGGUCCUGUCCCUGCCCUUACUCCAGCCUUUCUCCCCAUCCUGGUUUUGGCUCAGCACUGUCAGUUUUUGGCUGGGCUCAUUCCAGCUUGCAGGUCGGUGGUGACAAGGGGAGGUAGAAAAGCUCUUCUGGAGCCCAAGCAUCCCCUUUUGAUACCACUCAUUUAUUUCUUCCUUAGCCCUCCUUAUGAAAUUUCCCACUGAGGACAUUUAUUUUCCCUCUCUCCUUUUUUUUUCAGCCACUUCAUUUAUUGCCAAUGAACUGAUUUGUUCAGGCUGAGAAGGGUCAGCAGAUAAUGGAAAUACAUGUUUAUGGGGAAAAGACAGUGCAAAUGCCAAGGAAAUAUGGCUGGGAGGCAGCUGGAAAGCCAAGGUGCAUCCAGCAACGUAGACAUGAUACACACAGGGACAUAGACAUGAUACACACAGGGAUCCCCAAGGACUGUGUGUGUGUAUGUAAUAUAAACAUCUAUUACUUAAAUGUUUCUAUAUAUUUAAUCUAUAUACAUUUAUAUUAUGGAUGUGCUAGAAAUGAU
rnacentral:lncRNA from 1 species